rnacentral:rRNA from 1 species
UACGUAGGGUGCAAGCGUUGUCCGGAAUUAUUGGGCGUAAAGGGCUCGUAGGCGGUCCAUCGCGUCGGGAGUGAAAAGCUGGGGCUUAACCCCAGUCCUGCUUCCGAUACGGGUGGACUAGAGGUAUGCAGGGGAGAACGGAAUUCCUGGUGUAGCGGUGAAAUGCGCAGAUAUCAGGAAGAACACCAAUGGCGAAGGCAGCUCUCUGGGACGGUACUGACGCUGAGACGCGAAAGCGUGGGGAGCGAACAGG